rnacentral:hammerhead_ribozyme from 1 species
AUCCAGCUGAUGAGUCCCAAAUAGGUCGAAACGUGCUUGUUGGAU